rnacentral:tRNA from 1 species
GCCGGUGUGGCGGAAUUGGUAGACGCGCCAGAUUUAGGUUCUGGUGGGCGAUCCCCGUCGGAGUUCGAGUCUCCGCGCCGGCACCA